rnacentral:tRNA from 1 species
GGAUUGUGGCUCAGUGGCAGAACGCUUGCCUCGAAUGUGUGAGGCACUGAGUUCAAUCCUGAGCACCA